GAAAUGCGAUAAAUAAUGUGAAUUGCAGAAUUCCGUGAAUCAUCGAAUCUUUGAACGCACAUUGCGCCCUCUGGCAUUCCGGGGGGCAUGCCUGUCCGAGCGUCAUUACGCACCCUCAAGCCCGGCUUGUGUGAUGGGCCCCGGCGUCUCGUUCGCGAGACGGGCCCGAAAGGCAGCGGCGGCGUCGACCCGAUGAGCCCGAGCGUAUGGGGACUUCUGUCACACGUUCGCGGUGCGGACCGGCGCCUGCUUGACUUUUCUGAUUAUCCAGGUUGACCUCGGAUCAGGUAGGGAUACCCGCUGAACUUAAGC
rnacentral:misc_RNA from 1 species